UCUCGAUCAAAAGGACUUCCCAAGUCAAAAUUGAUCGGAGGCAAUUAUUCGAGCAAUGCCCUUGCUCUACUUGUUGAUACAAGUGGCAUUUCUGCUCUACUCACUGAUGCGAGCGGUAUUUUUAUUUUGCUCGAAGAUGUGAACAGUAUUUUUGCUCUGCUCGCUGAGGCGAGCGGUAUUUUUUCUCUACUCGAAGAUGCGAGCGGC
rnacentral:lncRNA from 1 species